GAUUUAAGCUGUUUGUAGAUUGAUUUUAUAGUGACAUUGCUAGCUACUUAUUUACCUCAGCCUGCCUAGUCAGCUGACGUUAGCUAGCUAGCAGACAGUUUUCUUUAGCUAACGUUAUCUAGCUAGCUAACUGUCAUUGUAGAUUUCUGUUUGUAUGUAGCUUGCACUUUAAUGGCAUCCCUCGAGGAGAUUUUAUUUUAUCUUUCCAAACAGGCGAAGUACGAUGAAGGCACCACUGAUCUCGAAAAGAGGCACAAUAUUUGUAGUGGGGCAGAAAAAUUCAGAGUUCAGGGAUGGCCAGCCACACAGGAGGGUGAUUUUUACAAAGGAGGAAAAGGAGGCCGUUCUGAAUGAGAAGCAUGCUGGCCAUUUAGAAGUGAAAGGCAUGAUUGCCAAAAUCAAUCUACAUUUCUUCUGCCGUGGGAUUGUCAAGGAAGGAUGUGCAACUUAGUACCUGUCUAGCCUGCCAGAAGUUUGAGAAGAUGAAGACUGUGGCACCAGAGUUGAAGCCUAUCAAAGUUGUUUCACCAUGACACAUGAUUGGGGUAGACCUCACCGUACCCUUCACAAAAUCCAGGAAUGGCAACCGUUGGUGUCUGACAGCAACCGAUUACUUUACCAAGUGGGUGGAGGCAAUACCCAUUAAGGACAAGACUGGUGAGUCCACUUCCAAGGCAAUAAUGGACAUCUUCAACGCCAACAGUUCACCUGAGGUCAUCUGGAGUGACAGAGGUCGUGAACUCUGGAAAACAGUUUGGAUGAACGGACCAACCAGACCCUCAAGAUUGCCAUGGGCAAGUCCCUUGACGGGUUCCAGGAACAGUGGGAGAACAACCUGAAGGCAAUUCUCUUUGCACACAAUGGCAGUGUCCAGGCCGUGUUGCAAGCACAGCUUCAGAUGCAAUCGCUAGGCAAGGGCAAUUUAAGUGUAGGAAAGGAUGAAACAGCAUCUGUGCCACCAGCAUCAUGCAGUCAGAUGAUGGGCAGCAAAGAGCCAGAUGAAUGGAGCUGCUUUACAAGGAAUGGAGAAGGAACAAAAUAGCCAUUUGGAUAAAUCUGGAGAAAACACUGACAAACUUGACAUCUCAAGAUAUGAUGGAGAGCACUGAAGACGUGGGCGAUAAGAGGGCAACAGAGGAAGAAGAUCUGUAGAAUAUCUGUCAAUAGGCUGUGGCACAAGAGGAAGGAACAGUGGAUCAACCACCGUUGAAUUGUGACUCCACUUUAUCUCUAUACUGACACUUCGCUUGUUUGAUUGCCUUACGGCGGGAAUAACUACACUGUUUGUAUUCAGCCAUAUUUCCAGUCGCCUUGCCAUGAUUAAAUGCGGUGGUACAUGCUUUCAGUUUUGCACGAAUGCUGCCAUCAAUCCAC
rnacentral:lncRNA from 1 species